rnacentral:rRNA from 1 species
UACGUAGGGGGCAAGCGUUGUCCGGAUUCAUUGGGCGUAAAGAGCGUGUAGGCGGCCAGGUAGGUCGGUUGUGAAAACUGGAGGCUCAACCUUCAGAGGUCGACCGAAACCAUCUGGCUAGAGUCCGGAAGAGGAGAGUGGAAUUCCUGGUGUAGCGGUGAAAUGCGCAGAUAUCAGGAAGAACACCCGUGGCGAAAGCGGCUGUCUGGAGCGGUACUGACGCUGAGACGCGAAAGCGUGGGGAGCGAACAGG